CCUACCCGCUGCACCCAACCCUCCCCAGACUUAGGACCCUUAGACACUAGGGCUUAGUGCAUGCGACACCCCCUGCGGGCCUAGGUGGGGAGGGCAGUGGGAGGUGCCAUGGGCGCCUGAGCGGUGAUGGGCUCUGGGUCCCGGGGCAGGACCGAGGGGCCCAGCCGGUACCGCUCCUCCAACAGAAGUGCAGCCGGAACAGAGCGGCGCCUGCGCACCAGGAGGUCAGAGAUUCAGAAACGCAGGUGCUGCCCAAGGACUCGCCCCCAGCACGGUCCUCACACUCCCUUCCGCGGCGGGACCCUCCGGAGCCAGGAGCUCCUGCGGGUGCGGGUCUUUGAGUUUGCACAACCGCCAUGCAGGCCUUCCCUGAGCUGGUCAGCAAUAUAAAGAAAUUAAAACUGGACAUUUCAUCUUUUGAUCAACUACGUUCUCUGGAAGCAUCUGCAAUCAACAAUCAGACCUUCUGAUUUCUGUGGCCUUUGAUCCUCGCUGCUGGUGAGGACCUCUCUGGAGCCGUGUCGCCCUGGAGGGAAGGCACAAGGACCGACGUGUCCCUGGCCGGGUCUCCGCAGCCACAGUCCUCAGGUGCCCGCUCUAUCCACUGAGCCAAACCGGCUGAGGCCAGACCAAAGCACUUGAUGGCAGAUCCAGCAACCAGAGAACAGAUUGGAAAAUGUGGGGAAGAGCGUUUUCCCGCAAGAAGGAGGAGGACUGAAGUGAGAGGCGCUGAGAGGAACGGCUGCGGAGGCUCCCUCUGCUACGUGGACAACAGUCCUCUGGGGAGACCCCGCCUCCUCUGCGCACAGUGCAGAUUCCGGCGACACCCCUGCAGCUCCGUGGGGGUCGGUGCCACUGAGAGCCGCCCCUGGGGUGCAGCAGCACAGGCGCACCCACCGCCCUGGCAGGGCGUGCAGGUCGGGCUGGAGGUGUCUGCAGUCCACAAGACCCGGGGGUUGCGGAGUGUGGCUUGGGGUUCCCACCCCUCCCAGCACAGAGCAUGGGCUGGGCCCUGAGAACCAGAAGGGAGUGUCCGCCUUCACCUGGGGGGAGAGAAGCAGGAGCCCCUGGGGGAGGGCGGGAC